AUUGAACGCUGGCGGCAUGCCUUACACAUGCAAGUCGAACGGCAGCACGGGAGCAAUCCUGGUGGCGAGUGGCGAACGGGUGAGUAAUAUAUCGGAACGUGCCCAGUCGUGGGGAUAACGUAGCGAAAGCUACGCUAAUACCGCAUACGAUCUAUGGAUGAAAGCGGGGGAUCGCAAGACCUCGCGCGAUUGGAGCGGCCGAUAUCAGAUUAGGUAGUUGGUGAGGUAAAGGCUCACCAAGCCGACGAUCUGUAGCUGGCUGAGAGGACGACCAGCCACACUGGGACUGAGACACGGCCCAGACUCCUACGGGAGGCAGCAGUGGGGGAAUUUUUGGGACAAAUGGGCGCAAGCCUGAUCCAGCAAUGCCGCGUGCAGGAUGAA
rnacentral:rRNA from 1 species